GAGGAGGAAGAGCAGGAUCAGCUGAACUACAGAAGAAAUAAAAAUAUUCCUGGUUUUCUCCAGAAAUUCAUCACUACCAACAACCAGGAUAAUUAACAAAAAGCAAUGUUAAACUGCUGAAAGAGGUGAAGCACAAGCCGUGCUGAAGAAUCUCCAGAACACGCAGAAAUCGUUUGACACAUUAAACAGACAAAUGAAGCCAAGUCCCGACAUAGAGAAACAUCAACACUCUGUCAAGAGUUUUACUAAACAGAGUGAUCUCAAAAUUCACCAGCGCAUUCACACAGGAGAGAAACCGUAUCACUGCUUAGACUGUGGGAAGAGUUUUACUAAACAGAGUAAUCUCAAAAAUCACCAGCGCAUUCACACUGGAGAGAAACCGUAUUACUGCUCAGACUGUGGGAAGAGUUUUACUAAACAGAGUACUCUCAAUAAUCACCAGCGCAUUCACACAGGAGAGAAACCGUAUUACUGCUCAGACUGUGGGAAGAGUUUUACUAAACAGAGUACUCUCAAUAAUCACCAGCGCAUUCACACAGGAGAGAAACCAUAUUACUGCUCCGAAUGUGGGAAGAGUUUUAAUCAACAGAGUAAUCUCAAACUGCAUCAGCGCAUUCACACCGGAGAGAAACCGUAUUACUGCUCAGACUGUGGGAAGAGUUUUACUCAACAGAGUCAUCUCAAUAAUCACCAGCGCAUUCACACAGGUGAGAAACCGUAUUACUGCUCAGACUGUGGGAAGAGUUUUACUAAACAGAGUAAUCUCAAUAAUCACCAGCGCAUUCACACAGGAGAGAAACCGUAUUACUGCUCAGACUGUGGGAAGAGUUUUACUACACAGAGUGAUCUCAAAAAACACCAGCGCAUUCACACAGGAGAGAAACCGUAUCACUGCUUAGACUGUGGGAAGAGUUUUACUGAACAGGGUGCUCUCAAAAAACACCAGCGCAUUCACACAGGAGAGAAACCGUAUCACUGCUCAGACUGUGGGAGGAGUUUUACUCAACGGAGUGAUCUCAAAAAACACCAGCGCAUUCACACAGGAGAGAAACCGUAUCACUGCUCAGACUGUGGGAGGAGUUUUACUCAACAGAGUAAACUCAAAAAUCACCAGCGCAUUCACACAGGAGAGAAAACUCCCAAAUUUGUUCCACUGCAAUAAAAAGUGCAAAUCGUAAAUCUUUCAGACAGAACACCUUAUCCUACAAAAAUGUUUCACUUUGUCACUUGGGACACGUUUCACCAGAAACAAACAUGAACUGAAUUUAACAAUGAAUUUUACAGGUUCAGCAAAAUGAAUCUGAUCCAGCGAUGAUGUUUAUUGAAUUUAAUGUUAUGUUUUCUCGUAUGUUUGAAUAUUCCAGGACAUUCUUCGUGAGUUUUUAGGUCAGUUUUUAGGGUAGUUACGGUAGGAGUUCAGUUCUGAAGAAGGGAAGGUCGUUUAAGUUCGAGUGAGGGCACUGCCAGUGUUUGCACCAGAUGUUAGAUUAGCAUAAUUUAGUCUUUAAAAUUUAGAUGUUGUUAGGAGUACAGUAGGAUUCUUAGUCUGCAACUAAGCAUUUUGGAUCAAACCUUCAGUGCUUAUGCCUAAAAGGUUUUGAAUGCAUUUAAUCGCUUUUCUAGUAUAUACAGAUUUAAUUAUUUCCAUUAAUUUCCAAUAUUUUUUGGGUGAAGCUACUGUCGCGCUGAGCUUUUUAACUGUCCCUGCGGAGCUCUUUAACUGUUAAAAAGCUCUGCACGACAGUAGGUGAACUCCCAGUUACGCAACAGAGGGGUGUGCAUGCUAAAAUCUAGUGUAUUUAGUAUCUUCUCUGCUUGUUACAUAAUUAUAGCCUAUCUAACGUUCCACUCUUGACCUUGUGGCUGUUUAUGAGUGUUUUCUAGUUUUAACAAUGUCUACCUUUUAGAAAUGAAUACAGGAAUAGUCAACCAUGCUAGAAAUUAAUCAUUCAUUAUUGUGGCACUGUCACUAUAUUGCAAAAAUAUUUUAUACAGUAAGGAACCUAAGUUUAUUGUUUGAAAUAAAUGUUCUAUUUGUUUAAAUUGUCUUUUCAUCUUUUUAUCUUCUCACAUAAUUUAAACAAAAUUUAUAGGCCAUUUGAAUUGAUAAAUCAUUCUAGAAUCGAAAAUCGUUUCUGAAUCGAACCUUGACCCCAAAAAUCGGAAUCGAAUCAAAUCGAAACACUGAGAGAUUCAUACCCCUAAUAUUUACUCGUGUGUGUUUCAAUAAAAUUCUUUUAUAUUGCAAGAUCUGCAAUCUCGUGUUUUCUCACUAUAUGGUUGAUAACCUUUCUGUGACCUGGAACCUAUCCAUCCUGAGCCUGUUUUAUGUUAUUAUUUGGUGAAGGGUGUGAUUGGAGAUAACCACACCUGCACACUCUUAUUUUUAAAUGUUUUAUACAUUUAUAUAUACAGUUAUUAUUUUUCUGUUCACUUAAUAAUUUAUUUAAAAACUGCUCUCUUUUGAACUGUCACAAUGACACAAGGCUUUGGAGGUUGUUUGUACGUUUUCAGGAAUCAGGAAGGUCAGAGUGUUUUCAUCAACAGUGAGAGCUGUGAGGAGAACGUGACCCUGAGUGGCAGAGAAGCUUCACUGCUGUUCUGGGACCAGUGCAUAUGAACUAGGAGACAACAAGCUAUCUGAGUGAAGUGCUGGGAACCUCUCCUCAGAUAUCCAGCGCAUGCCUGUUCUACACACCGUAAAGUCGCACACAGGCCAGAAGAUCUUUCCAUCCCCUCUUUUCCUCUGUUUCAUCUUCUCACAGACUUUAGGGCACAUAAGGAUUGUUUGGAACACAAGGACUGUCUGCUGUGUUCAUGAAGGACACAGAGCUGAACAACAUCAUGAUAAGAACUUGUUGCUCAGACAGGCUGGAGCGGAUCACGUCAUUGGAUCUGGACAACAAGCUGUUAACUGGACUGGAUAAAUGUAUAACUGCUUGGAUUAAGUCUGGAGGGCUCCCUCUCUUUCUCUCUCUCUGGGUUGUGAAUGUGUUGAUCUAUCACGAUUUUAUUACACUAUGUGUUCACUCGUUGAUGUACUCUUUUCUAAUAUAUAUUUUUAUAUAUAUGUAAUGCUGAAACUAUGCUUUUUCCAGUGAACUUUCAUACAUUUUAAAUUCUAA